rnacentral:tRNA from 1 species
UCAAAAAGUAGUUUAAUAAAAAAUAUUGGUUUUGGGGACUAAUGUUGGGGCGUUGCUUCCUUUUUGAU